UGCAGUCGAACGGGCUCUUCGGAGCUAGUGGCAGACGGGUGAGUAACGCGUGGGAACCUACCUAUAAGUACGGAACAACACAGAGAAAUUUGUGCUAAUACCGUAUGUGCCCUUUGGGGUAAAGAUUUAUCGCUUAUAGAUGGGCCCGCGUUAGAUUAGCUAGUUGGUGAGGUAAUGGCUCACCAAGGCGACGAUCUAUAGCUGGUCUGAGAGGAUGAUCAGCCACACUGGGACUGAGACACGGCCCAGACUCCUACGGGAGGCAGCAGUGAGGAAUAUUGGACAAUGGGGGCAACCCUGAUCCAGCCAUGCCGCGUGAGUGAUGACGGCCUUAGGGUUGUAAAGCUCUUUCGCUAGGGAAGAUAAUGACGGUACCUAGUAAAGAAGCCCCGGCUAACUUCGUGCCAGCAGCCGCGGUAAUACGAAGGGGGCUAGCGUUGUUCGGAAUCACUGGGCGUAAAGCGCGCGUAGGCGGACUUUUAAGUCAGGGGUGAAAUCCCGGGGCUCAACCUCGGAACUGCCUUUGAUACUGGAAGUCUUGAGUUCGAGAGAGGUGAGUGGAAUACCGAGUGUAGAGGUGAAAUUCGUAGAUAUUCGGUGGAACACCAGUGGCGAAGGCGGCU
rnacentral:rRNA from 1 species